AACCCAAAGGACUUGACGGUAUCCCACCGCACUAGAGGAGCCUGUUAUCUAACCGAUGAUCCACGUUACACCUAACCAUUUUUUGUUUAUCAGCCUGUAUACCUCCGUCGCAAGCCUACCUUAUGAAUGCCUAAUAGUAGGCCCGAUAGUCUUAACACUACAACGUCAGGUCAAGGUGCAGCUCAUAAAAUGGUAAAUAAUGAGCUACAAUUUCUAACUUAGAACAAACGAAUUACUACAUGAAACAUAGUUAUGAAGGAGGAUUUAGCAGUAAAUAGGGAAUAGAGAGCCCUAUUAAACUUGCCCUGGGAUGUGUACAAACCGCCCGUCACCCUCUUCAACAG
rnacentral:rRNA from 1 species